AGUGGCGGACGGGUGAGUAACGCGUGGGUAACCUACCUCACACAGGGGGAUAACAGUUGGAAACGACCGCUAAUACCGCAUAAGCCGGAAGGAUCGCAUGAUCCGGCCGGAAAAGAUUUAUCGGUGUGAGAUGGACCCGCGUCUGAUUAGCCAGUUGGCAGGGUAACGGCCUACCAAAGCGACGAUCAGUAGCCGGCCUGAGAGGGUGAACGGCCACAUUGGGACUGAGACACGGCCCAAACUCCUACGGAAGGCAGCAG
rnacentral:rRNA from 1 species